rnacentral:lncRNA from 1 species
CCUUAUAUUCGUGACAUAGUGUCAGUUCUUGAGCUGGGCACUUAUCGAGAAGUCCUAAAGCGAGCCCAGACUAUUUCUUAUCAAAGAACUCAAAACAUUGGAAAUUCUUACCAAGUUCAAAAUUUCUCAGGUAAGAGAAAGUGGAACUUUGAUAGACAGAAUACUGGUAAAGGAAAAGGAAAUAAUGCACCAAAGAAAGGACGAACGGAUAUAGCAGGAGUUAGUGGUGAAAGGCGUUGUCCUAAGUGCGAUAGACCUCACAAAGGAG